AUUGAACGCUGGCGGCAUGCUUUACACAUGCAAGUCGAACGGCAGCACGGGGGCAACCCUGGUGGCGAGUGGCGAACGGGUGAGUAACACAUCGGAACGUGUCCAGUUGUGGGGGAUAACCCAUCGAAAGGUGGGCUAAUACCGCAUGAGCUGGCAACAGGAAAGCGGGGGACCCGCAAGGGCCUUGUGCGAUUGGAGCGGCCGAUGUCCGAUUAGCUAGUUGGUGGGGUAAAGGCCUACCAAGGCUUCGAUCGGUAGCUGGUCUGAGAGGAUGAUCAGCCACACUGGGACUAAGACACGGCCCAGACUCCUACGGGAGGCAGCAGUGGGGAAUUUUGGACAAUGGGGGCAACCCUGAUCCAGCCAUGCCGCGUGAGUGAAGAAGGCC
rnacentral:rRNA from 1 species